CUAACGCACAAUUUUUCAGCCUGGAAUUGGAAAAGUAAAUCGUCUGAUUUUAUUGUCAAAAUGGUUUGAAGAUAAUAAAAGGUAUGUUGGAAGAUUGGACCACUGGAAGAUUGGACCACAGAAAAAUGGAGAAAGGUAUCGAAUAUUGUAGCAACGGUUAUGUUUAUUGCAUGAAUGCAAAAUGAAGUGAACAGGUAAUCAGUGGUUACAGGAUGUUAAUCUAAUGUGUGCUCAAGGCUUUUACAGUGUGUUUAUAUUUUUAGGUUUGCUUCAGAGACGAUUUUAUAUUCGAGAUACUCGACGAUAAAUAUCAGUACGUGCGCCAUUGUUCUGGGGAAGAAUUUCAUCCACAAUGUCUGUUGAAGACCGUCAAGCAUCCUACCUCAGUAAUGGUAUGGUCGAUAAUAAGUUCUUAUAGUGCAGGACCCCGUAGGAUUGUUGAGGGCAGAAUGGAUUUACAUUAAUACACCAACAUGUUGGAGAACAAACUUGUACCUCAACUUCCAAUUCGUUUUCCUUAUGGUGGUUUCAUCUUCCAACAAAACAACACACCGUAUCAUAUGGCACGCUGUUACAAACUUUUUGAACCGUAAUAAUGUUCCUAUGAAUUAUAGUCAAAAAGAGAAUUGCCGACAGAAAGCCAACAAGAAAAGUCGCAUUGAUUAAGGCGCUCAUAGAGGUUUGGACACAUAAUCCAGAAAUACAAGACAUGUGUCCAAGACUGAUUGAUGGAAUGCCUAAGAGUAUUGAAAAACUUAUUGCAACUAGAGGAGCAUUCACAAAAUACUAAACUAGGCUCAUUUUAUGACAUUGUAUGUGUCUUUAUAAGAUAUAUUAGAAAAAUUCACUUUUUCGACAA